rnacentral:rRNA from 1 species
UACGUAGGGGGCAAGCGUUGUCCGGAAUCAUUGGGCGUAAAGAGCGUGUAGGCGGCUCGGUAAGUCCGUUCUGAAAGUCCAGGGCUCAACCCUGGGAUGCGGAUGGAUACUGCCGGGCUCGAGUCCGGAAGAGGCGAGUGGAAUUCCCGGUGUAGCGGUGAAAUGCGCAGAUAUCGGGAGGAACACCAAUGGCGAAGGCAGCUCGCUGGGACGUGACUGACGCUGAGACGCGAAAGCGUGGGGAGCAA